CGGCAGGGAAGAUCUGAGGUUGGAGAGGAGGGUGGCGGUUGCGGCAGUGGAGAUCUGAGGUUGGAAAUUGCGGCAGUUCCAGAGGAAGAACGAUGGUCGUGGCGAGAGGUAAGAGAAGACGGAACUGCGUUGUGGUGGUUUGGCGGAUCUGGGUGACAGAGGAAGGGCGAUGGCGAAGGGUGUUUACCGGAAGGACGGUGGUCGUGGUGAGAGGUGCUCGACGAUUCCAGAAGGCGACGACGAGGGGUGAUCGGCUGUGGUAGUGGCUCGCCGGCGGCGACUCCGCCGAGAAGGGGAAGGAGGUGGGCGGCUGGGAAUGAAGAGAAA